UUGCAGUUUUGAUUAGGAAAUAGCACUGUGUGUGCAAGAAUUGGGUUGGGUUACACCAUUUAAUAAAGCUAUCAUGACUGAUGUGAGCACUACUCACAAAAAGGAACAGGAGAAACACAGCUGUACUCUCUGUGGCAUGAUAUCACGCAGCUUGCACUUGGGUAAGGACCUUUCUGAUGUCACCGGGUGAGGGAUUAAGUCAUAAUUAUGUAGAUCUAAAUUACCUUCCAGCAAACCCACUGGCGGUUCUUCAUUAACAUCACAGCAGGCUUUAAUUCCAGCAGAAGACUGAUCACCCUUCAGCUGCCCGACAUCCAGCCUGAAGAAUAUGUUUGGAAUUAAGCAGGGAUCUUGGUUGAAAAGAACAUCAGGUGCUAUUUCUUUGCUUUGGUCUCAGACUUUAUGUUGAUAUGUGUGAAUCCUCCUUUCGUGACAGUGCUUGGGAUGUGUGUGUGCCAGGUCCUACCCAUUUGCCUUCAUUGUCUCAUGCUCACACACUGGAAUCUGAGAAUCCAGUAGUUAUUAGGGACCUUGGAUAUCACUGAUCAUCUAAGUUUUGAUCAGAAGGCAGUACUGAUCCAAGUCGGAUUUCCAGGACCAUUUAUGACUGAGGUGGUCAGUUGAUGCCACCAUGAACAUCUUCCAGGCCCUGGAUAACUCUUCAUGCAAUGGACCAGAGCUGUAACACCUUAGUGUCUAUCCCUAGGGAGGCUGAAAUAAUGAGGAGAAGGGUCUUAUGGAUAAAUGGGAUUUUCUGGGAACUUGGGUGUUUCCCUCCCACAUCAAGUUGUGGGGGUAGAUUUCCAGUCAAUGUGUAGGAAGCCUUGGGAUUGAUUAGUUGAUUUUUGUUUUGGGUCACCCAGACGGUUGUCUCAGCAAGAAUAGUCUAUAAACCAUUUUCUCCUCCAUUUUCCAUUAGCGUGAACCAAGGAGAAUGCUUCCCAAGUUGGGCAGGGUAAAACAGCCUUGCUUCAGGGAACUACAAAAAGUCUCUGUGAAUAAUGGAUGGUGAGAUUUGCUUUUCUCCAUUAGGGAGAGAGCUAGGCUUUUCAUACCCACCUUCUGGGAACUGCUACCCAUGAACUUUUUUUUUUUUCUAUCUGUAACAGGAAUACUCUUUAGCUUACCUUAAAUUGGGUAAUGUUUAGCCCCUGACAAAAUCAUGGAGGAGAUGACCAAGAGCUGGGAGAGACAGUCUGAGACAGUUGAUCUCUAACCAGAAUUAGAUAAGAGGCUUAAAAAAAGAAUAUAUUACCCGGUUCCACUCCAGAUGUACUAAAUCAACAUCUCCAAUCAUUGGGAGUUGGAUUUUCUUCUUUGAACUUCCAUGAGCUCAAAUUUUUAAUUUUAAUUGUUGCUACUCUCCUAAGUCUUCCAUGUGGUUUCUGAUCUCUAUUUUUUAAAAUUUGUAUCUUUUUAAUGUGUAUAUAUCAUAAUUCCAUACUACUUCAUAUUUUUUUCUGUAAAAAAAUGGUGGUGGUGGCAGAUGUCAAGUUAUAAGUCAACUUGAAAACAGAGUUGUGAUGGUUAAUAUUGAGUGUCAACUUGAUUGAAGAAUGCAAAGUAUUGUUCCUGGUUGUGUCUGUGAGGGUGUUACAAAAGGAGAUUAACAUUUGAGUCAGUGAAUGGGAGAGGCAGACCCACCCUCAAUCUGGGUGGGCACCAUCUGAUCAGCUGCCAGCGAGGCUAGAAUAAAGCAGGCAGAAGAACGUGGGAGCACUUGAUUUGCUGAGUCUUCCAGCCUACAUCUUUCUCCCCUGCUGAAUGCUUCCUGCCCUUGAACAUCAGACUCUAAAUUCUUCAGCUUUUGGACUCUUGGACUUAACCAGUGGUUUGUCAGGGGCUCUUGGGCCUUUGGCCACAGACUGAAGGCUGCACUGUCAGCUUCCUGACUUCUGAGGUUUUGGAAUGGACUGGCUUCCCUGCUCCUCAGCUUGCAGAUGGCCUAUUGUGGGACUUACACCUUGUGAUCAUAUGAGUCAAUACUCCUUAAUAAACUCCCCUUCAUAUAUACACCUAUAUCCCAUUAGUUCUGUCCCUUUAAAGAACGCUGACUAAUACAAAAGGUCUUCUAAAAAAUCCUCUACCCAGUAGAGAAGAAAAUCACAUUCAACAUUGUGAUAAAUGGCCCUCUAUCUUUGACUGAAGUCUUUAAGUGAAAAGCAGCACACCACUUUAAAAUGUGACUUAUUCCAUUGUGGGCUACUCUUCCUAUGUAAAGUUCUUCCUUUUAUUAAAACUCAUUGUGCUUUUGAUUUGCACCUCUCUGAUGAUUAGUGAUGUUGAACAUUUUUUCAUAUAUUUGUUGUAUGCCUCCUUUUGGGAAGUGUCUGUUCUUUUGCCCACUUUCUAAUGUGUUUUGUUUGUUCAAUUAAGUUCCUUAUAGAUUCUGAAAAUUAGACCUUUGUUGGAUGCAUAGUUUGCAAAUAUUUUCUCCCAUUCUGUGGGUUGUCUGUUCACUCUGUUGAUAGUUUCUUUUGCUAUGAAGAAACUCUUUAAUUAGGUCACACUUGUCACUUUUUUUAUUGGAAUUGCUUUUGAAGACUUAGUCAUAAAUUAUUUCCCAGAGCCCAUGUCCAAAAUGGUGUUUCCUAGGUUUUCUUCUAGGAUUCUUAAAGUUUGGGGUCUUACAUUUACUUUAAUGCAUCUUGAGUUAAUUUUUUAUAAGGUGAAAUGUAGGGGUCCAAUUUCAUUUUUCUACGUAUGGCUAUCCAGUUAUCCCAGCAAGAUUUAUUGAAUAGGAAGUCUUUUCCCCAUUGCUUAUUUUUGUCAACUUUGUAGAAGAUUAGACGGCCAUAGGUGUGCAGCUUUAUUUUUGGGUUCUCUAUUCUGUUUCAUUGGUGUAUGUGUUUGUUUUUGAGCCAGUAUUAUGUAGUUUUUGUGACCGCAGCCUUAUAGUAUAAUUUGAAGUUGGGUAAUGUAAUGUUUCUGGCUUUGUUCUUUUUGCUUAGGAUUGUUUUGGCUACUUGGGCUCUUUUAUGGUUCCAUAUGAAUUUUAGAAUAGUUUUUUCUAAUUCUGUGAAAAAUGAAGUUGGCAGUUCGAUAGGAAUAACAUUGAAUCUGUAGAUUGCUCUGGAAAGUAUGGCCAUUUUAAUAACAUUGAUUCUUCUAAUCCAUGAGCAUGGAAUAUUUUCCCAUUUGUUUGUGCCAUCUAUGAUUUCUUUUUUGCAGUGUUUUGUAGUUCUCCUUGUAGAGAUCUUUCAUCUUCUUGGUUAUACGUAUUCCUAGGAUUUUUUAUGUUGGUGUUUUGUUUUUGGUGUGGCUAUUAUAAAUGGGAUUGUGUUCUGAUUUGGCUCUCAGCUUGAAUAUUGUUGGUGUGUAGAAAUUAUGUAAUUGAUUUUUGUACAUUGAUUUUGUAGCCUGAAACUUUGCUGAAGUCAUGUAUUAGUUCCAGGAGCCUUUCGGUGGAGUUUUUAGGGUUUUCAAGGUAUAGAAUCCUAUCAUCCACAAAGAGAGAUAGUUUGACUUUUCCUAUUGGGAUGCCUUUUAUUUCUUUCUUUUGCUUGAUUGCUGUGGCUUGGACUUCUAGUACUAUGUUGAAUAGGAGUAGUGAGAGUAGGCAUCCUUGUUCCACUUCUCAAGAGAAAUGGUUUUAGCUUUUGCCCAUUCAGUAUGAUGUUUGCUGCGAGUUUGUCAUAGAUAUGUUCCUUUGAUGCCUAGUUUGUUGGGGUUUUUAUUAUGAAUCGAUGUUGGAUUUUAUUGAAAUAUUUUUCUGUAUUUAUUGAGAUGAUCAUAUGGUUUUUGUUUUCAAUUCUGCUUAUGUGGUGAAUCACAUUUGUUGAUUUGCAUUUAAUGAUUGGCGUUUGAGGAUUUUUGCAUCUAUAUUCAUCAAGGAUCUUGGCCUGUAGUUUUCCUUUUUUCGUUGUGUCUUUGCCAGGUUUUGUUAUCAAUACUGAUGCUGGAUUCACAGAAUGAGUUAGGGAGGAGUCUCUCCUCUUCGAUUUUUUAAAAUAGUGUCAGCAGAAUUGGUACCAGCUCUUGUUUGUAUGUCUGGUAGAAUUCACCUAUGAAUCCACCCGGUCUGGGAUAUUUUUUGGUUUGUAGGUUUUUAAAUUACUGAUUCAAUUUCAGAACUCGAUAUUGGUCUGUUCAGUGUUUCAAUUUCUUCCUGAUUCAGUUUUAGGAGAUUGUGUGUUUCCAGGAAUUUAUGCAUUUCCUUCAGAUUUUCUAGUCUGUGUAUGUAGAGGUGUUCAUAAUAGUCUCUUAGGAUCUUUUGUAUUUCUGGGGGAUCAGUUAUAAUGUCAUCUUUGUCAUUUCUGAUUGUGCUUAUUUGGAUCUUUUCUUCGUUAACCUAGCUAGCAGAUUAUUAAUCUUGUUCAUCCUUUCACAUAACCAACUUUUGGUUUUGUUGAUUCUUUGUAUGGAUUUUUGGGACUCAAUAUUUUUCAGUUAUGCUCUGAUUUUAGUUAUUUAUUUUCUUCUGCUAGCUCUGGGGUUCAUUUGCUCUUGUUUUUCUAGUUCCUCUGGGUGUGAUGUUAGAUUGCUAAUUUGAGAUCUUUAUAACUUUUUGAGGUAGACAUUUAGUGUUAUAAACUUUCCUCUUAACACUGCUUUUGCUGCAUGCCAGAGAUUUUGAUAUGUCACAUCUCUGUUUUCAGUUAUUUCAAAUAAUUUUAUUUCUGUCUUGAUUUUGUUGUUUACCCAAAAGUCAUUCAGGAGCAAGUUGUUUAAUUUCCAUGUAAUUAUGUGGUUUUGAAGAAUCUUCUUGGUAUUGAUUUCUAUUUUUAUUCCACUGUAGUCUGAGAGUAUGGUUGGUAUAAUUUCGAGUUUUAAAAAUUUAUUGAUACUUGGUUUAUGAAUGAGCAUGUGAUCAAUCUUGGAGGAUGUUCCAUAUACAGAUGAGAAAAAUGUAUAUUCUGUGGUUAAUGAGUGGAGUAUUCUGCAUAUAUCUAAUAGGUCCAAUUGGUGAAGUGUUGAGUUUAAGUCCAGGAUUUCUUUGUUAGUUUUCUUCCUCGAUGACCUGUGUAAUGCUGUUAGUGGGUUGUUGAAGCCCCGCUCUGUUAUUGUGUGGCAGUCUAAAAUCUUUUUGUAGAUCUAUAAGUACUUGUUUUAAUAAUCUGGGUGCUUCAAUGUUGGGUGCAUAUAUAUUUAGAAUAAUUAAGUCUUCUUGUUGAAUUGGAUUAUUUAUCAUUAUGUAAUGCCCUUCUUUGUCCUUUAUUCCUGUUGUUGGUUUUAACUCUGUUUUAUCUGAUAUAAGAAGAGUGACCCCUGCUUUUUGUUUUGUUUUGUUUUGCAUGGCAGAUCUUUCCCCAACCCUUUACUUUGAGCCUUUGGGCACCAUUAUGUGUGAGAUGGGUCUCUUAAACACAGCACAUGGAAGGAAGGGUCUUGUUUUUUUAAUCCAAUGUAAAUGGCAUUUAGACCAUUUACAUUCAAGGUUAAUAUUUACGUGCGAGGUUUUGAUUCAAUGGUGAAGUUGUUAGCUUUUUGCUUUGUAAUUUCUAUUGUGUUUUUGCUCCAUACAGUCAUAGGGUCUGUAGGCUAUGUACUUAAGUAUGUAUUUCUGGCAGUAGGUAUCAUUCUUUGGUUUCCUUUUUUUUUUUUUUUUGAGAUGGAGUCUCACUCUGUCGCCCAGGCUGGAGUAAAAUGGCGUGAUCUUGGCUCACUGCAAUGUCUGCCUCCUGGGUUCGAGCAAUUCUCCUGCCUCAGCCUCUCAAGUAGCUGGGAUUACAGGCUUGUACCACCACACCUGGCUAAUUUUUGUAUUUUUAGUAGAGAUGGGGUUUCACCAUGUUGGCCAGGUGGUUUCAACGUAUAUAACUCCCUUCACGAUCUCUUGUAAGGCUAGUAUAGUGGUAACGAAUUCCCUUAGCACUUUCUUGUCUGGAAAAGAUUUUAUUUCUCCUUUGCUCAUGAAGCUUACUUUGGUGGGAUAUGAAAUUCUUGGUUGGAAUUUCUUUUCUUUGAGAAUGCUGAAAAUAGGCCCCAAGUCUCCUCUGGCUUAUAAGGUUUCUGCUGAGUAGAUAUUAUUCUUAUGCUGUCCUUUAACUCUUUAGACAUGAGUUCCUUUCUUUGAAAAUAUUCAUAUUGGCUGAUUAAAACUAUCUGUAUAAUAAGUCCAGUAUCUGGACUUCCUCAAUUUCUAUUGACUUGUCUUUUCCUGUGGAUGGCCCAUACUUUCUGGUUUCUGUGUGCAUCUCAUAAGUUUUUUUGUUAAAAAUUGGACUUUUUUUCUUUAAAUUUUUUUAAUUGAAAUAUGUCUCAUACAUAAUAUUUACCCUUUUAAAGUGUACAUAUAAUUCAAUGGAUUUUAGUAUAUUCAGAAGGUUCUGGAGGCAUCACCACUAAUUCCAGAACACUUUCAUCAACCCAAAAAGAAACCCCACACCUAGUAAUUCAAAACUGGACAUUUAAAAUAAUGUAAUGUAGUUAACUCUGGAAAUCAGACAAAGUCACAUAUCCCUUAUCCAAAAUGCUUAAGAACAAAGGUGUUUCAGAUUUUGGAUUUGUUUUGGAUUUUGGAAUAUUUGCAUAUAUAUAAAGAGAUAUAUUGGGGAUGGGACCCAAGUCUAAAUAUGAAAUUCAUUUAUGUUUCAUAUACAGCUGAAGGAAACAAAAAUAUUCCUCUAUAAAGUACUGGGGAUUUUAGUUAAAGUCUUUUAAAAGGUUUAAACACAGGGGUACACUCUGCCCCUGCUCUCUGCCUUUCCCACCUAAAGAUAGGCCCCUGUAUAAUGCUUGCUUAUCAACUGAGAAACAGAGCUCAGAAACAGUGCUACUAGAAGAUCUGGAGCAGACUUUACUCUGCUUAUAAAUUUACUUUCCACAUUUUCCUGCCUUUUGGAAGCCUUCUUUGUCUUGUCAGUAUAUAAGAUUUAUGGGUCUUUGUGAAAAUACUGCCAGAGGCAUUGAACCAGAGCAACUCCAUCUUGAAUAAGGGCUGCGUAAAAUGAGGCUGAGACCUACUGGGCUGCAUUCCCAGACGAUUAAGGCAUUCUAAAUCACAAGAUGAAAUAUGAGAUCUGCACAAGAUACAGGUCAUAAAGACCUUGUUGAUAAAACAGGUUGCAGUAAAGAAGCCGACUAAAACCUACCAAAACCAAGAUGGCCAUGAAGAGUGACCUUUGGUCAUUCUCACUGCUACACUCUCACCAGUGCCAAGACAGUUUACAAAUGCCAUGGCAAUGACAGGAAGUUCCCCUAUAUGGUCUAAAAAGGGGAGGCAUGAAUAAUCCACUCCUUGUUUAGCAUAUCAUCAAGAAAUAACCAUAAAAAUGGGUAACCAGCAGCCCUUGUGGCUGCUCUGUCUAUGGAGUAGCCAUUCUUUUAUUCCUCUACUUUCUUAACAAACUUGCUUUUGCUUUGCACUGUGGACUCUCCCUGAAUUUUUUCUUGCCCAAGAUCCAAGAACCUUCUCUUGGGGUCUGGAUCAGGACCGCUUUCCUGUAACAUCUUUCUGGCAACCACAAAGGGAUGAUACUGAAGAGACCCCCUAAUCUCAACUGAAAAUCAUCUGCUUGCACCAAUUUUGGCUGACUUUGGGUAAGUGGGGUGCAUAUACCUGGGUAAAGAAUGGGAUUGGGUUAGAGGCUCAACUUACAGGAGUUAGAGUCUCUCCUAAGACAGAGUGGGUUAGAGGCCCCUCUCGGUAAAGUCCCUUCUGGCUAAGGAUGGGUUUGGCACUAUGGGAUGCUAACUGCUAUUCUCUUUGGAUUAAUCUGUCUUGUACUCUUUGCUGACGGCUGUGGGUGACAGGAUCAGGCAUGUACGGGAUCAUGGGACAUGGGGAGUGUCUUCUUCCCUAAAAGGGAAAACCUAAGAGCUGAUGAAACUGCUGGAAAAGAUCCCUUCAUGACCAACAAGUGGCUGCCUGAAUGUUAGAGCAACAGGGGGAUCUUUCUCUGGUCUCGCUGAGCUCUUCGCCUUCCCCACCCUGCCUCAGGAAAUGCUUUCUCUCUGUCUCUCUCUAUGCUAACCAGUUGAAUUAAUGGUAAAAAUAACUUUUUAUCUCCUCUGUAAAGUUCUGAUUAAUGGAAAAAGGAUUUGAGAGGCUAGUGUUAAGCUGUAGCAAAUCUGGUGUGCUUUGUGCAUUUUUCUGUAUUGUUCUGUCAUAAAGAGGGGUACCUUAGGAUACAGCAUGGGCUUUUCAAGAUGGCCCAACAAACUGGUCAGUUACAAACUUUGCUGCAGGUCCCUGAAAAAAACUGGAUGAGGUUUCCAAGUAUGUCCUUGGGAGCUUGACCUUGUAACUAUGUGGCUGUGCUUUCUCUUUUCACAAUGGUGGCCUGGGUUCAGGGUCCAAUUCCUGGCUUAGAGAAUGAGUCCUUUAUCUUCUGUCUGUCAGUGUAUUUAUGUGUGUUGUGUGUGUGGUUAUAUAUGAAAGAGCUUUGAUUAAUUGGCUUAAAAAUAAGUGCUUAAAUCAAAUACGUUGUCAGAAAAGUAGAAAGUGUAAUGCCUUUUACAUUAUGUGACUUUAGUAAUCUUUGGGAAAUAGAGACAGUUUUUAAAAUUAUCGGUAAAAUCAAAAUAUCUUCCAAAAUGUAAACAUUUCUUCUAAAUUAUGCAGGUCAGAUAUUAAGUUUACUAAAUGCUUUAAGGUCAUAAACUGCUUCUUUGACUUUUAAAAAUUGUUCAGUUUACCUACUUUGAAGCAUUAGAUUCUAGAUAAGGCCUGGGGACAUGUGGAAUUAGCCAUACCCCAUAGCUAUGCAAAGAAGUUUAUAAAGAAAAGAGACUUUAUGUAAGAAAGGAUCUUAUAUGGUAAAUUCUUGUCCUAAAGUAAAAUAAUUGGUUGUUUAAAAAAAGGGAUGUUUAGGACUAGUCACAAAGUCAAAGUAUGUCGUAGAUAGUCUGUGUAGGUCACGCAAUUCCCAUAGCAGGGAAUUUAUGCAAGAAAUGUAUAAUUUAAAGGUGAUUAGGCCUCCUAAAUGCUUCAUAGAAUACCACUAUGAUGCUUAACCGUACAACUUGCCUGCUUUACAGCUAGGUAAGGCUUGGGACACGUGAAGUUAGAUGUUGGAAAGAGUCAGGACUUAUCUGCACUUCUGUGGGUCCUAGGCUCCACACUAGUACAUAAUUAAAAUGGCUUACUAACAAGGCUUUUCACCAGAAGUAAGAGUUGCUAAGAGUUAAUAGUGUAACAUGUAUUUGAGACUAUUAAAAAACAGUUUUACAUGCAAGGUGUGUAAAGAAAGUGAAAUGUGUUUUUGGUAAAAGAUUAUAAGAAGUCAUAGGAAUGUGGAUUUUUUUAUGCCUAAAGUGUUAAAGGAUUGUUUUAAGUUAGAUAAGGUAAAGCUGAAGAUUUCAGCAAGUUGUGGAAGGUUUGUGAAAAAUUAAUUGUGAAAGAGAUUCUGUGUGUGAACAUAUUGGCUGAAGUUAAAGGGGUAUUACUCAGUUUUUCUGUAAAUUGAACAUUGGAAUAAAAGGACAACAGGUUUUUCUUAAAGCAAAAACCUGCUUAUAAUCUGCUCUUUAAUAAAAAAUUGUAAAGGGUUAUACAAGAUUUAUGAAAAUCUUAUCUUAUGGUCAAAUGGUUUAAGAUUGGAUAGAUUUAUUUAUAAGGUUUUAUUAAGAAUUGGGUUUAAUGGUAAUAGUACACUAACACAAAGGUAAAAUUUGCCUUAUUUGGUAUAGUAAAGUCAUACAAGAAGCACUGACAAAUAUAAUAAAACUUAUUGUAGGUUAUUAAUAAUUAUAAUUGUUACAUAAAAUCACUGUAUGCCACAGAGGUAACCAAAUUUGUCAAUCAUGUUUUUGGCUGUGGCUGUCCUAAAACCUUUUGUCAUGCAAAAACAAUUGUUUUCUUGUUUCAAUCCUCUUCAAAAGGUGGUUUAUAGUCAGCUGUAGAACUCCAACAGGUGUUCUUAAAUGCAGUUUUCUGAUAACUUUGGAAAUUGUGACAUUAGAAUAGACGAAACAACUUUCAGAACUCUCAUGGAGAACUGAAAUGUUCAUGAAUAUCAAACAGGAGAGAAGUUAACUGCAUGGAGUAAACUAGUAGAAGUCUAAAGUGAUCUUUUUAACUUUUAGGUUAAAAUGUUGCUGAUUCUUUGUUUUGUUUUUCAAAGACAAGAAAACAAUUCUUUUAAGCUAUUUACAGCUUUUAACAAUUAGGUAAAGUAUACUCCUAUGAACACAAUUUGGAGCAUAUUUGUUUACCUAGUUUCUCCAGAAUUUGGAAACUACUUGUGAGUAUUCUUAAUUUAUGGCAAUAUAGUUAUUUGCAUAAGUGCAAUAAGAAUCUGUUUUCUUUUGUAACAGGACAUAAUUGGAAAAACUGGUUAUUUUACCAAGGCUUUGAGUGGAAUGGUGUGUUUUCCUUUAAGGAAUUAAACUUGACUUAUAGAGCCAAUAAAAGCCCCUUGGGAAAACUGGCCUUGUACCUUGUCUACACAGUCCCUGCAAAGGGUUCCUGACAUGUCAUAAGUAAAGAAUGUCACUUUCUAUCAGGCCUAGGAGAGCUAAGUUAUCUUGGAACCUCAAGAGGAGAGGAAUUUAUUCAACUUAUAGGUAUUUGAGGGUACAAACCCAUGGCAGGGCUCAGCUCUAAAAAAGUCUUGUCUAAGAUUCCUUCUAUGGAACAGAGUUACAUCAAUGCCAAUUUAAAGAGAGCUUAUGUGAAAAAUAAUUAUUCUUGCUGCACUUUAUACAAAUAAUCAGGCCAAGUAAAAUGAAACAAAUCAGUCUUACCAUGAUUUGUCUUAAUAAAAAUGGGAAACUGGAGAGAGAAAAAUUAUGUUUCAAGAACUAUGGUACACUUGUUAUUAAAUUCUAGUCUCAUCAGUUGUUUAUGAGUUUAUUUCCUGUAAUUAAGACUAAUCCUGCUUAUCCCUGUGAACCAACUAGUGAUCUCUGACUGCUGCUCAGAAGAAACAAGAGGCAUGGGUAAUGUAAAAAUCUGGAUCAAUAUUCUGGGCACAUAUUGAAAUCAUCUAGCAACCCCAUAUCAGCUUGUUUCCAACAGCUGCCCAGUUCAUGGAAAGCCUUCUAAUUUAGCUUACUUGGGAUAAUUUUACGUAUUUUGCCUUACUAUUGUGUAAUAUAUUGCUGUUGUACUCUUUGUGUAGGAAAGAGGAUGAGGUUACUCAAUGUUUUCUUAAAUUGAACACUUAUUAAUCUUCCAGAUACCAUCUUUUGUUGGAACUCAAAAGUUAUGAAUGUCCCUCACCGUACCAAUGCUUUCUGACUGAGCUGUUUUAUACCCCAAAUACAAGAGACUCUAAUAGUUAGGCAGGAACAUCAUCACCCCUAUUCUGCCUGAAGUAGUUACAGAAGAUAGAUCUUCAUCCCUCUGCAAACCUUGAAGUUAGGGUUGUCUUUUAAAAGGGAGGGGGGAAAUGUCAGAGGCAUUUGAACCAGAGCAAAUCCAUCUUGAAUAAGGGUGGAGUAAAAUGAGGCUGAGACCUACUGGGCUGCAUUUCCAGAUGGUUAAGGCAUUCUAAGUCACAGGAUGAAACAGGAGGUCAGCACAAGAUACAGGUCAUAAAGUCCUUGCUGAUAAAACAGUUUGCAGUAAAGAAGCUGGCUAAAAUCCACCAAAACCAAGAUGGCCAUGAAGAGUGACUUCUGGUCGUCCUCACUGCUACACUCCCACCAGUACCAUGACAGUUUACAAAUGCCAUGGCAAUGACAGGAAGUUCCCCUAUAUGGUCUAAAAAGGCGAGGCAUGAAUAAUCUACUCCUUGUUUAGCAUAUCAUCAAGAAAUAACCAUAAAAAUGGGUAACCAGCAGCCCCUGUGGCUGCUCUGUCUAUGGAGUAGCCAUUCUUUUAUUCCUCUACUUUCUUAAUAAACUUGCUUUUGCUUUGUACUGUGGACUCACCCUGAAUUUUUUCUUGCCCAAGACCCAAGAACCCUCUCUUGGGGUCUGGAUCAGGACCCUUCUCCUGUAACAAUACUAUUUAAGCAAGGCCCCAGAACCACUGCCUUGAGAGGGAAAUAUUUUUGAACUGAGGCCUUUCCCUGUGAUGGGUACAGCAUGCAUUACUAAACUUCUACUUGUUUUUCUUCUGUUAAUCUUACUUUUGUUUUCAGGAGGGUGUCUCAAUUAAGAACUUAAAAAAGAAAGGAAAAGAAAUUAUGUUUGCUCCCCUACAUACUUUAUGCACAGAGCCUGAAAGGAAUUGUUUACAAUACUUCGAAUAAUUUUGUGCAUGAAACAAAGUUCUGAUUGAGACCUGUCACAUGAGGUCAACUGUGGAAUUUUCCACUCAUGGCAUCAUGUCAGUGCUCAACUUUCAAAUUUUGGAACAUUUCAAGUUUAGAUUUUUAUAUUAUGGAUGCUCAACCUGUUCCCUGUGUAUCCAGGGUUUGUUAUUGCUGUUUUGUUGUUUUUACUGUUUGUUUAGUAACUUUCCUCGACAAAUUCUGUAAAUAAGUAUUUCCUUUUAUGACUGAAGUCCUACUCAGUUAACUUAGUGGUCAGCUAAUGACUGAACAGAGAUUUUCUUAAGUUCUUGGAACUAAUAAGUCUCUAGCCUUAGCCAAGGGGUACUGUUAGCUGUGUGUUGGGGCACACUUUCAAUGCUCCAGUACGACUUCCUGGUUGCAAGGUCAGCCAGAGGUGAGAAGUUAGGUUCCACUUAGGUCUUUCCUGAGCACACACAGCUCUGCCAUGUGUAUGGCCUUCCAGAUCCCUUGUGAUAUGUUGGAGCUUUUUCAAAGCCCCCUGUGAAUAACCCAUUCCCAAGAUCUUCCUUUUAAAUAUUUUGCCAGGCUCCCAUUUGCCCCAACUGGUAUUGCAGCCUCAGGCAGCCACAUGUUAAAUCAUUGCUAUUGGUUGUUUUUGACAAACACCCUAGGGAUAAGUUUUACACCCCAGAUCCCAAGCAAUGAGCUGUGAAUCAGAUCAAAUAAUGACAACAACAUCCUGUGAAUGGAGCUUUCCCAGGGAGCUGAAAGACAGGUAAAAUGUGACAAUUCUAAGGAGAUGUGCUUUUGGGGGAGCUCUAAAUCCAGGUUAUACCUCCAGUGGCUGUAAGGCUGCUCAUUUGCACAGCUUCCAUAAUUGCAGAGCUGCUGUUUUCAAGAUUUCUGCAGAGUGGGAGUGAGGAGUACAGGAAUAGUGCAAGUUAAAAUGUUACAACAUUUUGCUAUUCUUACCAAGAUUCAGCAGUUUUUCUUGCAUAAAUCCUCCUUGGAUUUUUUGCAAGCCUUUGGUUAAUUUCCAGAGUUUAAAAAAAGUUGGUUUUUUUUUUUUUGUUGUUUUUGUUUUUUUGGCCACGUAUUCUUAAGAGUGGAUUUUUGGAAGGUUAUUACUUCACCAUUCUGGAAGUCUCCAACCUCUCAACCUGACCUAGAGCUGCAAUUACCAGUUAUGAUGUAUUAAAGUGAACUAAACAUGGCCUGAGAAGGAGUCUGUACUUCAAUAUUUGAGUCCUUGUGGAUGAACUGCAACCUAACUUGAUAGGUGGACAAGAUUAAAAACCUAAUUUAGGAGUAUGCACCUGUAACAAUAGCUGAGUCUUGGCCAAUCCCAGCAGUCAUACUUCAACCACUCAUAUACAGCUGAGUGUUCAAACUGUGUUCAAAAAAGGCAAACGCCCAGCUGUAACCAACCCAGCUGUUUUUAUGCCUUACUUCCGAUUUCUGUAUGUCACUUCCCUUUUUUGUCUAUAAAUUUGUUCUGACCACUAGGCAUCACUGUAGUCUCUCUGAAUCUGCUGUGAUUCUGAAGGCUGCCCAGCUUGUGAAUCAUUCAUUGCUCAAUUAAACCCUUUAAAUUUAAUUUGGCUGAAGUUUUUCUUUUAACAGAGGCUUAGCAAUGGAAUUAAGGGGGUGGGGAGGCUGUCCUUUUGGUGAAUUUUUUUUUUUUUUUUUUUUUACGGCUGCACCAAAUGCUUUUCCAGAAGUUUUUGUCCUCUCUUUGAGCACUUGGAAAGCCUGUGCCCUUUGUAACCACCUGCCAGGCCUUGCAAGGUAGAAAGGCAUCUACAUUCAGAGAAACCUUCUGAGGCCCUCCUGAUACAAAGAUAAUCCAAGGGGAGUCCCAAUGUCAGCCUGAGAUGAGAGGAUCUUCCAGCCUCUUGGGACCUUCUCUCUGAUCAGCUUUCUCAGCGAGGUUUCUCAGUGCCACUAGUCACUCUUCUCCUUGCCUUGAUGGUGCCCCACCAAUUGGUAGCUAUCUUCUCACUUUUGGCCACUCCUCAGGCACUUUUUGUGUAGUUCAUGAUGCCCUAAGAGAUUUUAAACUGUCUGUAACACUGGCAAGAGCUAUAUCUCUUCACUAUUGAAAAAUAAGGAAGUCUCAAUGACUUUCACGAGAAUAUUCAGGAAUUAUAACUAAGGUCUGCAAGUCUGGCUUAGAAGCAACUGCCUUCAGAAUGGCCAGUUAUUGCUGGUGACCAGUGUGAUAACUGAUCAGUAGAAACUCCACACCCUUGGAUGAGUCAUGUUUCCAGGCUGAUUACAUCUCUUUCACAGCAAACGGCCUUCUCAGGAGAGCCAGCUUAGCAUCUCACUGGAGCCAGACAGCCUUGGUAUUAGAGUGAUAGCAUAAGGGAUCCUUUCUGUUUGCUAUAAUAAGCCUCACUUCCUAUAAAGAAAGAAGUGGAGAGAUUUUGACUUUGCAAGACACUUCUAGAGAAAAAUUGGCCCACACAGUAGAGGAGCAGAAGGAGAACAACUUGGAUGUAUGCAUCAGACCUUGCCCCCUUGAAAAUCCUGAACCAGAGAGUGUGGCAGAUUACAGAUGACUGCAAAUUCAUUGAUAUUCCUCCUGUUGAGAGGUAGGAUCUAUGACUGGCCUAUUACAUUUUGACCUUUAGAGCAUGGUCAAAGUGAUGCUAUGCUAGUUUUAGGACUACAAUUUAAAAGGACUGGUCACAUCUGCUUUGGUUUUUUUUAGAGCCCUGAGUCACCAUUUAAGAAGUCCGACUACCCUGCUGAAGAGAUCACAUGGAGGGGCUCUGAGACUACAGCCUGAGAGCUGUUCCCACCAAGGUGUCAGGCUUGUGACUGAAGCCAUCUUGGAUGUUCCAGACUGGCCCAGGUAGCAGCUUAGUACCAUCAGGUGACUCUAGUUGGUGCCAUAUGGAACAGAAGAAUCACCCAGCUGAUCGCCCCUCAAAUUCCUGACCCAUGGUAUCAUGAGAUAGAAUAACUGUUUUAAGCUACUAAGUCUUGGAUUAGUUUGUUAUGCAGAGACAAAUAACCAGAACAGGGAGCCAGUUGCCCUUCUGUGAGAGUCUGCCUUAGACAUGAGCAAGGGACUAGAGGUAGACCCUGACUUUUCUGCAGCUGCAUCUAGAUGGGGCCCAUAUAACCCCUCUUAGGGUGUCCUGCUGGUGCAUCACUUGAUGGGGCUCCUAGGUGCCUGCUUAGUACACAAGCUGAUCAUACCCAGGUAGGAACCUCCCUUGUCCUCUUGGUGAAUAGCAAAUCUUGUGCUUAUGACCAGCAAAUAUGUAUCUAGAAGGGAAAUUACUGAGUCACGGAUAUGUAAAUUUCUAAACUUUUUGAUACAUACUGUCAAAUUGUAUUCCAGAAAGAUUCCACCCUUUUCCAGUUCCUUCCAAAGUCUAUGAGAGUGCUUACUCCCUGUCCCCUCAGUAACACUGGCUGUUAUCAACUGUGUGGCAACUGUGAUUUUAUAUGUAAUGUCAUCCAUUUGCAUGACCUUGUCAGAGGCCUUUACCAGAGCAACUCCAUCUUGAAUAGGAGCUGGAUAAAAUGAGGCUGAGACCUACUGGGCUGCAUUCCCAGAUGGUUAAGGCAUUCUAAGUCACAGGAUGAGACAGGAGGUCAGCACAAGAUACAAGUCAUAAAGAGCUUGCUGAUAAAACAGGUUGUAGUAGGCCGGGUACGGUGGGUCAUGCCUGUAAUCCCAGCAUUUUGGGAGGCCAAGGCAGGUGGAUCAUGAGGUCAGAAUAUUGAGACCAUCCUGGCCAACAUGGUGAAACCCCGUCUCUACUAAAAAUACAAAAAUUAGGUGGGUGUGGUGGCAUGUGCCUGUAGUCCCAGCUACUCUGGAGGCUGAGGCAGGAGAAUUGCUUGAACCUGGGAGGUGGAGGUUGCAGUGAGCAGAGAUCAUGCCACUGCACUCCAGCCUGGCGACAGAGCAAGACUCAGUAUCCAACAACAACAACAACUAUAAAAACUAGGUUGCAGUAAAGAAGCUGGCUAAAACCAACGAAAACCAAGAUGGCCAUGUGAGUGACCUCAGGUCAUCCUCACUGCUACACUCCUAUCAGUGCCAUGACAGUUUACAAAUGCCAUGCCAACACCAGGAAGUUACCCUAUAUAAAAAGGGGAGUAACCCUCAGUUCUCAGAAUUGCCCAUCCUUUCCAAGAAAACUCAUGAAUAAUCUACCCGUUGUUUAGCAUAUAAUCAAGAAAUAACCAAAAAAAAAAUGGGCAACCAGCAGCCCUCAGGGCUGCUCUGCCUAUGGAGUAGCCAUUAUUUUAUUCCUUUACUUUCCUAAUAAACUUGCUUUCACUUUACUUUAUGGACUCCCCUGAAUUCUUUCUUGUGUGAGAUCCAAGAACCCUCUCUUGGGGUCUGGAUCAGGACCACUUUCUGGUAACAACCUCAGUUUACUCAUCUGUGUAUUGAACAUGCUUGGUGUAGGGUCUGGAACAAAGAGGGUUCACAACAAAUAUUUUUUGAAUGUAUAAGGACUCUAAAGGUUGCACAAUCUAUUCUUUCAGCUCAAAGUCCUGUCGCCUCUACAUUUUUCUGUACACAGCCCACAAGUGCCUCAAGUUUAUCAUCACCUCCUUCACCUCCAACCCUUCACCUCCAAACCUGCUUCUCCCCAUCCUGCCUUGUGUUCCUUAUCUCACUGAAUAGCAGGUCAUCCCCUCAGUUAACCUAGCUAGAAACCUGGGAACCUACCUUUGCUGCUUUACCACUUCCUCUUACGCCCUCCCAUUCAACCAAUGAUCACGUCCUGUCAAUUCUGUCAUCUUUCACCUAUUCAUUCAUUCUAAAAAUAUUUAUUGACCAUCUAUUAUGUGCCAGGGAUUGUUCUAAGUAUCGGGGCUACAGAGAACAAAAGAUAUAAAAACCUCUGCCCUCAAAGAGUGUAUACUUUAGUUGGGGAAGACAAACAAUAAUCAAAUUAAUGAUUGAGUUAUACAGAAUGUCAAAUGGCAAUAAAAACUAUGGAGAAAAAUUAAGCAGAGAAAGUAUAGGCUGUGGGGAAGGGGCUGCUGUUUUAUUUAUUUAUUUAUUUAAUUUUUUGAGGCGGAGUCUUGCUCUGUCACCUGUCACCCAGGCUGGAGUGCAGUGGCGCAAUCUCAGCUCACGGCAACUUCCACCCCCUGGGCUCAAGUGAUUCUCCCGCCUCAGCCUCCUGAGUAGCUGGGAUUACAGGCAUGUGCCAAUAAACCCAGCUAAUUUUUGUAUUUUUAGUAGAGAUGGGGUUGUGCCACGUUGGCCAGGCUGCUCUCAAACCCCUGAGCUCAGGUGAUUCACCUGCCUCAGCCUCCCAAAGUGCUAGGAUUACAGGCAUGAGCCACCAUGCCUGGCCAGGGUUGCUGUUUUAAAUAGGUGGUCAAGAAAGGAAUCAUUUAGAAGGAAAAAUUAAAGCAGAGACCUAAAGGAGGUGAGGGAGCAAUCAUGCUUUUAUUUAUGUGUUUACAAUUUUUUUAGAGACAGGGUCUCAUUUCUGUUGCCCUCUGCAGUAGCACGAUCAUAGCUCAAUUCAACCCCGAACUUCUGGGCUCAAGCAGUCCUUCUGCCUCAGCUUCCCAAGUAGCUGAGACUACAGGUGGGUACUACCAUGCCUGGCUAAUUUUUAUAUAUAUAUAUAUUUUUAAGAUAGGGUCUUGCUAUGUUGCCUGGGCUGGUCUUGAACUCCUGGGCUCAAGCAACCCUGUCUCGGCCUCCCAAAAGAAUGGGAUUAUGGGCAUGAGACACUGCACCUGGCCAUUGUUCUUUUAAGUAUUUCCUGAAUCUGUCCACCUCCCUCCAUCCGUAUUACUACCACCCUAGUUGAAGCCACUACCGUCAUUCUCCUUGAUCACUGACUAGUCUUCCUGCCAUCUGCCUUCCAAUCCAUUAUCCAUCUUCCAGGGUGAUAUUUGUAAAGUCAAAACCCAAUACUACUUACUUGCUUAAAACUCCUUAGUGGUUACACCAGAUCCCUCAAGGUAAAAACAACAACAACAACAACAACAAACUUAUUAAUAUCUCCUACUCGCCACUGAAUUAUUCUCCAACCUUAUCUCCCCAAGUCCCCAGUUGUACUCACAACUACUUUUAGUCCCUUCAGUAAGCAUGGAGCUGAACUUUUAAAAACCUUCUUAAGCUCCUUUUUUUCUCAUUCCAUCAAGAAAAUAGUAGAAUUUUGUUUUUGUUGUAGACUAUUUUUUAUUUGGGUUUGAGAUACAUUUUAGAGAACUUGGCUGCCUUUAAAAGAGCCAUUCAUUCAGAAAGGGUAGGUUUUGUGGCAGGAUGAAACUUUCUAAUCAGUAAGUUAAGAGCUAAUCAUGCAGAUGAGGAAUGUUUAUAGCUGAACUAAGUCAGGGGCUGCAGCUAUACAUUAUUAAUAAGCUAUGGGCUGGUAGCAUGGCCCCAGCUAUUAAUAGCAUAAGCUGGAUGGACUCUAGAUCUUGGCGUGAUCAGAGUCCAAGGCUCUGUAUCCUUGGAGAGGGAGCCUGUUUGGACUAGCAUCCGGGGUUAGGUUUUGCGGGCAAGAGGGUGUUUCUGGUGAAUGUGCUUAGCAUCCUUGUGCUCUGAGGCAGGCUGGGACUGCACCUGGGUCCUGCCUUGCAAAUUUGCAUUGAAGUUUCCAAGUACAUGUGGAUGGCUCAGUGCAAACUCAUGCCCACAACUAGGAAAGUGAUGGUUAGUAGAUGUCCUAUUGUGGAGGACCAGAGGAACUGACACUGCAUCUGAAGGGCAGGGCAUUUAUUAAUGAGGGACAGGAUAGCCCAACCGGGCAGCUCCCUGAGAAAUGACAUCCUUAAAGACCAGACUCAGGCACCUCCUUCCAGAACACACUCUCCAGAGGUGGCUGUGGCAAACCUUUCAAGGGCUGCCAUCUAAACAGGAAUAGUACUGGAGGGAUGGUUAAUCAGCAUAAAAGGGGUAAGAAAUGAAUGCUGAAAUUGUUCAAGACAUGUGGUGGGCUGGUAAGACUUUAUGGGCUUUAGCAACUUUUUGCAAAUGACUUAAAAAAAAAUAAGUAAACCUAGUAUUUGACAGCUAUGAAACAGCACUCUGGGUCCUCAAGCACCCAGAAUGCAUGCAGAACUCUGUCUCUAGAUCAAACUAGAAGGUGGGUCUGAUCCUGCUGACAGAACAUAGUUGUGCUUGCCUCAGAGGAAACUUUCCAAUAAGGUGCUGGACAGAGAAAAGGGACAGAGAGUGCUUCCUGAGCAGGUUGGAAGAGGAUGUUUACGUUCUCUUGCUAAUGAAUGUUGUCUGUGGACUGCUUACUUUGUAGCACACUUCCUGCUAGCAAAGUUGAGGGGAGGAGUCACAUUGCUUCCAUCUCUGCUUAUGGCAGAAGGCUACUGAUGUUUACUAAAGGAAUUUGGACAGCAGGAAUGUCAAAUUGCCCUAGAUCAGUCCUCGAUGGAGGGUGGGAUGUGGGGCGAAUGAUGUAGCUACUCUUACUUCCCUUCUGAACUCUGUAGGUCUGGAACAGUGUGUAAGCAUCUCAGGGGCAUCCAGAAAACAUGGAAAUGAAAAUCUAAGAAAAUGAUGACAGUUAAUACAACUGCAAGAUGCAAGAAGUUCUAUAUCCCCUAUGAAAAUAAUUUAAUGUUUGCUGUUAUCAUAGAUGAGUGAAUUGCUCUUUAACUGCCAAGAGGCCUAGUACCUUGUGCUUUAUUAGUCUCUUAAAGCUAGCUGAAUUAACAGCAUUUAAGUGUUAUGUUUCCUCAUUUUAAGAUUGCAACUUCAAAUCUCAUUCAAAACCAUUAACAUUUACAUCCACUGGGACAUCAGAGAAAUACAAGGAACUCUAAGCUGUUGGGGAGGAGGGUAGAAAAAUAUAUUCUUUUCCCCAAUCUUUUUCAUGUUUUGGUGAUUGGGCCUACGUUGUUAGAGGGUAAACACUUACUGCUGAGGAUGGGUAAUAAAUGGUACUGAAAUAGAAAGUUCCUAAGGAAAAAGGGGCUGGUCCAGUGAGAUAAUUAGACAUCAGGAUUUUGGAGCAGGGAUGUGUGGCAACUUGUAGGGGGUUUUAAGCUUUAAUAACAGUUAAUUAUUAUAGACAGCAGAUUUAUAAUCUCUAUAAUAUUAUAGAUAUAAUAUUAUAUAUAGUUAACUAUUAUAGUUUUUUUUCUGUUUAUGUGUUGGAUUUACAUAGAAGCUUUCCUGUGAGUACUCAGAGACACUGAAUUAAGACCUAUGUAUCUGAGCUCACUAAUACUACAGGAGUUCAAAUAAAUGAAAAAGGGGGGUAAAGCAAAAGACAUAAAUAAACUGGGGGGAUCCAGGAUUGCUCACUGUGAUGGUUGAUGCAGGAAAUUAAAGAAAAAUCAAAUUAAAAAGAAAGCAAAAUAAGUUUUCCUGUAUUAGGCUGACUUGUCCCAGAGGCAGCAACAGGCACAGCCAGAUCCAGGAAAAGUCUUGAUAAUAUUAUCUAAUGUGCUCUGGAGACUCUCCCAGCACUCCCUCAACAUAAGGAGAAGAAAAACAAAUUUUCCUUUGUUUUAUGGAAUGAGUUUAUAGAUUCCUAUUCUCUGUAACUAGUGACUUCAAGUAUUCUGUUUUAUCUAAGAAGUACAAUGAAGGUCAUGAGGAGCCUGAGUAGGCCUGAACUACAGCUGCCUGGGCACCAUAGUGAAGGUUACAGGAUAAGCCUGUGCUCAGACAAACCUAGAUAACAGACAUCUGGGUUGCUUGGCAACAGUCAUGUGCAAUCCUGUCUUUGUCCUCCCUCUGUAUCCCUGCUUUCAUGCCCCUGUAAGCUUGCUUUAAGCUAGCCCACCCCCUUUUGUGAAGUGUGUAUAAAAUUCAGGUGCGGUCUUUGUUCUGGGCCCAAUUUUUUGGAGGUGAGUCAGCUGGGCCUGAGCGCACUCAAUAAAGAUUCUCCUGUUUCAACCUGAGGUCUCUCUCGUCCUCCUGAAUCCCGCAACAGUGGUUAGUUUUAUAUGUCAACUUGACUGAGCUAAGGGAUGCCCAGAUAGCUGGUAAGACAUUAUUUCUGGGUUUGUCUGUGAGGGUGUUUCUGGAAGGGCUUAGCAUUUGAAGCAGUAGGCUGUGUAAAGAUCUGUCCUCACCAAUGUGGGUAAGCAUCAUCCAAUUUGUUGAAGGCCCUGAUAGAAUAAAAAGGUGGAGGAAGGACAAGUCUUUCCUUCUUUCUUUGAGUUGGGACAUCCAUAUUGUUCUGUCUGUAAACAUUGGAGCUCUUGGUUCUUGAGCCUUUGUACUCUGAGACUUAGACCAGUCCCCCACCUUCAACUCCCCCACUGAAAGUUACACCACUGGCUCUACUCGUUUUCAGGCCUCCAGACCUGGGCUGAAUUACAUCACCAGCUUUCCUGAUUCUUCAGCUUGCAGAUGGCAGAUUAGGGAACUUCUCAGUCUCCAUAAUCAUGUCAGCUGGGGCUCUGCUCUGCAUCUUCCUCCCUCUGGAACCCUAGCUGAGUGAGUGGUCACUAUCUGGAACAUUGCUGGCCAUUGUGACAGAGGGGGCACUGAGCUCUGGAGGGUUUCACACAGCAGGUCCUAAAACCUAGGAAGACUUUUCUGACCUUCCCCUGAAGCAGGCCUAAGACCCUCCUGUGAGAGACCAGGCUGGGCGAUAC